GAUAAACGCUGGCGGCGUGCCUAAUACAUGCAAGUCGAACGAGGAGUCCUUGUAGCAAUACGGGGAUUUCCUAGUGGCGAAUGGGUGAGUAACGCGUUGGUGACCUACCCCGAAGAGAGGAAUAACUCCGGGAAACUGGAGCUAAUACCCCAUGUGGUUAUCAGGGUUAGAGGCCUGACAACUGAAGGAGCAAUCCACUUUGGGAGGGACCUGCGUCCCAUCAGCUUGUUGGUAGGGUAACGGCCUACCAAGGCUACGACGGGUAGGGGGCCUGAGAGGGUGGCCCCCCACACUGGCACUGAAACACGGGCCAGACACCUACGGGUGGCAGCAGUAGGGAAUAUUGCACAAUGGGCGAAAGCCUGAUGCAGCAACGCCGCGUGAACGAUGAAGACCUUCGGGUUGUAAAGUUCUUUUCUGAAGGACGAGGAAGGACGGUACUUCAGGAAUAAGGAUCGGCUAACUACGUGCCAGCAGCCGCGGUAGUACGUAGGAUCCGAGCGUUAUCCGAAUUUACUGGGCGUAAAGCGCGUGCAGGCGGUUUGGUAAGUUGGAUGUGAAAGCUCCCGGUUCAACUGGGAGAGGCCGUUCAAAACUACCAGACUCGAGGACGGUAGAGGGAGGUAGAAUUCCCGGUGUAGUAGUGAGAUGCGUAGAUAUCGGGAGGAAUACCAGUGGCGAAGGCGGCCUCCUGGACCGUUCCUGACGCUCAGACGCGAAAGCUAGGGGAGCGAACGGGAUUAGAAACCCCGGUAGUCCUAGCUGUAAACGAUGCAAACUUGGUGUUGGUGGGGUAAAAUCCGCCGGUGCCGAAGCUAACGCGAUAAGUUUGCCGCCUGGGGACUACGGCCGCAAGGUUAAAACUCAAAUGAAUUGACGG
rnacentral:rRNA from 1 species